UACGGAGGGUGCGAGCGUUGUCCGGAAUCACUGGGCGUAAAGGGCGCGUAGGUGGCGCGGGCAGUCAACGGUGAAAGUUCGGGGCUCAACCCUGAAUCGGCCGUCGAUACUCCCGUGCUUGAGCACUGUAGAGGCAGAUGGAAUUCCGGGUGUAGCGGUGGAAUGCGUAGAGAUCCGGAAGAACACCGGUGGCGAAGGCGGUCUGCUGGGCAGUUGCUGACACUGAGGCGCGACAGCGUGGGGAGCAAACAGG
rnacentral:rRNA from 2 species